rnacentral:rRNA from 1 species
GUACGCUGGCGGCACGCCUUAUACAUGCAAGUCGAACGAAGUAGCAAUACUUAGUGGCAGACGGGUGAGUAACAUGUAGGUAUCUUCCCUUUGGUGAGGAAUAACACGAGGAAACUUGUGCUAAUACCUCAUAAGUCUUUACGGAGAAAGCUUUAUGCGCCGAAGGAUGAGCCUGCACUUGAUUAGUUUGUUGGUGAGGUAAUGGCUUACCAAGACUUUGAUCAAUAGCUGAUCUGAGAGGAUGAUCAGCCACAUUGGGACUGAGACACGGCCCAAACUCCUACGGGAGGCAGCAGUAGGGAAUAUUGCACAAUGGAGGAAACUCUGAUGCAGCGAUGCCGCGUGAGUGAAGAAGGCCCUUGGGUUGUAAAGCUCUUUCGUCGGGGAAGAAAAUGACUGUACCCGAAUAAGAAGGUCCGGCUAACU